CAAGUGUACCAAUCCUUCUAGUACAGUAAGGUUUCUGGCCACACUAGACACCAUAGGCUUCGCCUUGUUAAACCAUAUUAACAACCAAUGAAACAAGCUGUGUAAUUACCAUGUAAUAACAGGGUCGUAAACAAGUUUUGGAAAUGUCACUACUUUUAGAUUCCCUUUUUCAUAUGAAUUACAAUUUGUAUUUUUUUCAAAUAGUAAUUUCAAACACGAUUUAAAUGGAAAAGCAGUGGAAGUGGACUGUAACUGGGUACAUGUCUGGUAUCAAAUCAUUCCAUUUGUUAUUUCAUUACAGUUACUAAUAAGGCCUAGUCACGCUGUGAUGCCAUGAUGAUGUUUGUACAAUCAUUGUGAAGUCUACAUCCCAGUUGUAACUGUGGAGGAUUCUGUUCUCUCUGCAGUCUCCGUUGCAGCUACUAGCUUUGCUUUGAUGGUUAUAGCUGUGCAGAGCACUCAGAAAUCCCAGUUUAUAUCUAAUGACACGAAUGGGCAGAGCUGGGUGGUAAACUCACCAGGCAGGAUCAAUGAGUUAGCCAGGAUAAACUCAACACUGAGAAAUACAGUAACAGUUGACCUGGAUAAACUCAACACUGAGAAAUACAGUAACAGUUGACCUGGGUAAACUCAACACUGAGAAAUACAGUAACAGUUGACCUGGAUAAACUCAACACUGAGAAAUACAGUAACAGUUGAUUGUCUUGAUCAAGGGUGCAUAAACUCAGGCCCUCGACAUCCACAGUCCUGCUAGGUUAGUGUUUCUCCCUGGUACUUAUGAUCAAAUAAUGAUUGGCUGACGUGUGCACACACCUCGUUUCCCAGCGACAAAUCAAUCACUGGUAACAAGGCAAGGAUGAAAAAACUGUUAUUUUCACACUACGGAGUCGAUCUGAGCCAAGCUGAACUGGCCUGCAAAGGACAAGGUAGUAAGAAUGGUUAGAUGGUUAGGAUCAGAACGACAGUGUGACAAGGUUAAAGGAGUAGAACCAGAACAGUAUGGUUAGGAUCAGAACGGCAGUGUGACUAGGUUAAAGGACUAGUCUGCUUUGAGGACUGAGACUUUGCACCAUGGUCUCAAGAUCAUAAGGGAGGUAAAGUUGCAGCUCAUUGAAAGUAAGAGUCAAAAAUACAUAUACACUAUGUACAAAAUAUAUUAUUAGAUACUUAGCUCACUGGCUCUGCCCGGUGACCUGCCCCCUGAUGGGGCCUCUCUAGCUCACUGGCUCUGCCCGGUAACCUGCCCCCUGAUGGGGCCUCUCUAGCUCACUGGUUCUGCCCGGUAACCUGCCCCCUGAUGGGGCCUCUCUAGCUCACUGGCUCUGCCCGGUAACCUGCCCCCUGAUGGGGCCUCUCUAGCUCACUGGCUCUGCCCGGUAACCUGCCCCCUGAUGGGGCCUCUCUAGCUCACUGGCUCUGCCCGGUAACCUGCCCCCUGAUGGGGCCUCUCUAGCUCACUGGCUCUGCCCGGUAACCUGCCCCCUGAUGGGGCCUCUCUAGCUCACUG
rnacentral:lncRNA from 13 species